AAGAAUUUUCAUCAAUUUUAGAACUUUGAAGCAUGUUCAUCAUAAGCAUAUAAGGUGAAAAGAACAUAAACUCUUUCAACACGGAUGCAUGGGUUUAGCGAAAGCAAAAGAAUUAAGUCUAUUUAGAGUUAAGAAAAUUAGGCCUAAAUGGAGCACACUAAUGGGGCAUGUAUUGGGCUGCCUUGUGGUAGGCCUUUAUUCUUAAAAAAUUCGUGAGUCCAUGAUAUGUUAUUAUUUAUUCACUUUUGAAAACCCAUAUUAAGGAGAUUUUAGUGUUUUUGAUGACUUUUAUGUUCCUAUAUGGGUUGGGAGUCAAUUUGGCAUAUUUGAUUACCAAAUAUUCUCAAAGACCUUCAAAAAUUAUUGCCAGCAAUAAUAGAGACGAAUUUUGAUUUGUUAACUCAGAAUACAAUCUUGGAAGAUUAUUAUUAUCUUGGAAGAUCUUGGCUAGGGGCUAGCAUUUUAUUAAUUAGGAAUCAUUGACUUUUUUUUUCCUAUUUCUAUUAGUAUUUAUUCCAGUUCUGUAUUUUCUUAUUUCCUAAUUAUUUUCUUUGUAAUUUUCUUCUUUAGUUUCUUAUUUUUGCCUAUAAAUAGACUCACAUACAUAAUACUUCAAACACAAUCGAGAGAUUUCAGACACUUCAAAGAAUGAAGAGAAAGUUUAGCAUAAGUGCUACCAAAUUUCAAUUCUCAUCAAUCUAGUUUGAUUGUGGCGAAUUACUUGACUUAUCACACGAUUCCUUUUAUAGCAUAUAUCAUUGAAGAUUGAGUUCUUUAUGGCGUUCUGAAUUUAUUAAAGAUUUUUUUUCUUCUACUUAUCCUUUUAUCUUUCUUAUUUUAUUUUUAGUUUCCGUUCAUAAACAUCAAAACUACAACAAUAUAUUCUUUUAUCCUUUCUUUUUACUUUGUUGCAAGUUAAAACUAGAAAAUAUCAAAAAGCGUUGAAUAUGACACAAUCCAAUUCUUCUGUUUUGAGUGUUUUUGCUUGAUUUUUAUUUAUUUUCUAUUUGUUUAAUGUUAGUUUUCUUUUUUAUUUCUCUUAAUUUGAAUUUCCAUUCUUCUCAGUUUGAUUGAAUUAUUUCUUCCCACAUCAUACUUUGUAUAGAAUACUAUAAUAAUCCAAGAAAGCUAAAAGAAGAAGAACAAAGAACAUAUCAGAAUUUCAUUAAGCCUUCAAGUUAAAAAACUAAAACAAGACACAAAGAAUCUAACUUCAAGUUAAAACAACCAACCAACCCCUUCAAUGGGUUUCAAUUAGAAAAUCAAUACCAGAUAAUUACGCAAGACAAAACCAUUUAAGCCUUUAUUCAUCUUGGUAAACAGUUACUAUAAAUAUGGAAAAUAAUAUUCUGCCUUUCAAUUAGCUUCACAGUAAACAUCUACAAGCAUUUGUUUCAUGACAUUUCUCCUCUGAAAAAAUAAAUUUGAUCAAAACUCAUUUUACUAACAAGCCAGCUGAUGAAAAAGAAGUCACCUUCUCAACAAGCAAUCACAGAGUUCACCAUUUUCCAUUUCAAUGGUUCAAGAUCAAAAUUCACCCGCUCUUUUUCCAAAUUUUUUUGGGGAAAUUCAAAAGCAUCAUAAUUGACACUGAAAAACUCUUGUAACCUUAUUGCAGAAAGGGCAAGCUUCGUAU
rnacentral:misc_RNA from 1 species